UUUAAAGAAACAAGAGGGAUGUUGUUUCUUAGCAGUACUCAAAGAUCACAGAAUAUUUUUUAAAGCAUUAAAAAUACUGUGUGGUGAAAUCUCAAUGUGAACAAGCCACAGUUUGUGAUAGGACAGCACACCACACUCUGAAAGAUUUAAUUCUUUACUGCUUUGAAAGUAAACGUCUGGGAUUCUAGAAAUCAUUGUAUACAUUGAUUCCUUAUGUAAAUGAAAUGGUAUUUGAAUCCUCACCUUUCUUGAAUUUGCUUCUUAGUGUGGUCUUUAAGUUGUUUAUAAAAUUCCUGAAGAACUCAGUCUCUGUUUAUCACAUUCAGUUUUCUAAUUCUUUGGCAGUUCUGGAUCAAAACAUAAAGUUUAUUUUGCCUUGAAAUGCAUCAACUUUCUACAUUUUAAUCAUGUAACCUUUUGUUCAGCACAUGUUUAUUGGCAGCUAGUCUGGGUCAGGCCCCCUGCUGGACCCUGCUGGACCAAAACAGACCAGCCUUGGCUCUCCCAGGCCUUCUAGUCAAGGGCCGCCUGGGAUUCUUACCUCUUCUGGAACAAAGCAAAUGGCUUUAUUUUUUAUGUGAAAUGAAUUUGCCAAGAAGUUCUUUCGUUUGUUUGGCAUAACAUCAGAAAUGUAAGUUCAGAUUGAACUUACCACUAAUUGGUGGUAAGUUCAAUCUGAAUGAAGCCAUAAGUCAUGGCCAAUACCACUGCCAAAAGGUGUUGUAGGGACACCGUCCUGCAAGUUGCACCUCAGUCAGAUGCAUUGGAAAACAUGGCACACUCUCCCCUAAUGCAUAUGCUAUCCUGCUAGAGGCUUUGGCUAGCCUAGCAGUGGGCAACCUUAUUUUUAUUACUCCAUUGCCCCUAGCUUACUCUACCAUGACCCACCCUGACCCCUGGGAGUAUGCCAGCAGCUAGGAUUUGGGGGAAAGGGUGAUCUAAAUUAUAGAUCAUCUUUAGGGAAAUUGUUUUCCUGAUCAUAAGCCGUGCUCUGUUGAGCCUCAUUUGUCUCAAGCAGUUUCUUGGCUUAUUAGAUGGAAAAAAUAGGUCUCGGCCAAUUUCUGUCCACUCUUAGUGUCCUUCUGUCAUUCUUCAUGUUGAAAUGGUCAGCUUCAGCCUGGCAAUGAUACAUAGUUCUUAGAUUUCAAAGUAGCAGUCUGUAUUUGUAAACCUCUUUAGUAUCUCCCCUCCCUUCCCUUUGACCACUGAUUCUGUUUAGUAGGAUUAAGAAAAUAACAAAACUGAUUCUACAGCAUUUUUCAGUAGUGGAAGAUUCUUAUCAACAAAACCAGAUAUUAGCCAUCUAGGCUGGUUAAAGGAGGGUUAUAGACUGAAAUAGUUUAAAUCAUUAUCCAUACAUUUUCUGCCACCUAGAAACAGCAACUUAAGCAUAAUACUUUAUGAUUUAAAAAUAAAAGUUGGCUAUUAGCCUCCCACCAACUCCUUGUUCAUUUUUGCUGUUCUUCCUACUCCCUCUACAACAGUUCUCCUCACAGUGCAGUAGGCUGGAGACUUGGAACCUUCUAGGACAGAGUGUAUGGCUUUGUGGGGGAGAAAAGUGUGGUCAAGUAUAUUUAUGUAAUUUAUAGUAUUAAGGUACCUCACACUUCUAUAAUUUUAUUCUAGAAUGUCA